rnacentral:rRNA from 1 species
UGCGCAGGCGGUUGUGUAAGACAGAUGUGAAAUGCCCGGGCUUAACCUGGGAACUGCAUUUGUGACUGCACGGCUAGAGUUUGGCAGAGGGGGGUAGAAUUCCACGUGUAGCAGUGAAAUGCGUAGAUAUGUGGAGGAAUACCGAUGGCGAAGGCAGCCCCCUGGGUCAAGACUGACGCUCAUGCACGAAAGCGUGGGGAGCAAACAGGAUUAGAUACCCUGGUAGUCCACGCCCUAAACGAUGUCUACUAGUUGUCGGGUCUUAAUUGACUUGGUAACGCAGCUAACGCGUGAACGUAGACCGCCUGGGGAGUACGGUCGCAAGAUUAAA